CCACAUAUUUACAGGGACCUUGGUGAUUAGGGUUUCAGAAGAAUAAUCCCUCACAUGUAAAGGAAUUAUUUUUCCCUAAUCUGGAGAGAUUGAAUCAAUUGGGGAUUUGAUUCCCAAUCAUGGCAAGAAUCCCCAAUUUAAUCAAAUAAUCCCAAAAUUGAUGGGAUUAAUUAUUUGACAUAGGAUUUUCAAAUAUUUGCUUCCACA
rnacentral:lncRNA from 1 species